AUCGCCCUACGGGAGGCAGCAGUGGGGAAUAUUGCACAAUGGGGGGAACCCUGAUGCAGCGACGCCGCGUGGGCGAGGAAGUAUUUCGGUAUGUAAAGCCCUAUCGGCAGGGAAGAAGAAAUGACGGUACCUGAAUAAGAAGCACCGGCUAAAUACGUGCCAGCAGCCGCGGUAAUACGUAUGGUGCAAGCGUUAUCCGGAUUUACUGGGCGUAAAGGGAGCGCAGGCGGCGCGCCAAGGCUGAUGUGAAACCCCGGGGCUCAACCCCGGGCCUGCAUUGGAAACUGGCGGGCCGGAGUGCCGGG
rnacentral:rRNA from 1 species